rnacentral:lncRNA from 1 species
ACGGCGGAUGCUAAAGGAGAUGGAGACGUCUUCACAGGUACGGGAGGAGAUGCCACCGGUGAGUCAGCGGAGGGAGAGAUCGCAGGUGUGGCAACGGGUGAUAUGGUUGGAGAUGAUGAAGGAGAUUGAGCAAUGGUGGAACUAACAAAUAGUGUAGCCACAAGCAUCAACACAACUUUAUAGGAAGCCAUUGUUGAAAAUUGAAGAAGGAGAAUGAAAUUUUAGGAUUUAUAAGAAGUUUUGAAGUAGUGAGUAGAAGAAUUGAGAGAGUAGAUUGUUUGUGACUGUUCUGGAAAAGUGAUUAGGCAUGGAAGGGUAUUUAAAGAAGCUUAACCGCGUGAAUACGCGUUUCUACGCUAAGUCUUAUACGACGCGGUGAUUUUUUUUAUCCGUUACAAUUGUUUUUUCUAGGGGGAUGAAUUGCUGUAUCUUUUUUUUGUUUUUGAGAUUAUAUGAAAUUGUUGUAUGGAUGCAUAAAUAUGCAAGGUCCGGAGAUCAAACCUCGACCACCACCAAAAAAUGAAAUAAUUCUUAAUCAUCGUCGUAUGGAGCUGUAAUAUUGGUAUAUCAUUAUGUAUCAAAUCGGUAAUACAUAACAAUAUAAAGACAUGAGAGCUAACUCGAGACGUGGUUAUUUGAAGUAAAACAUGAGCGGCCUUAUUUGUCUGUCUUAAAUAAACUCGACACGAGAGCUUUUCAAAAAAAUAAAUUACAAUAGUGUAUACAAACCCGCAUAACAACCUCAAAUUCUAUGAUAUCUUUGUCGUCUCUCUCAAAGUAGUCAACAACUUUUUACAAAACAACCUUGAAGUCAACAUUCGCUCAACGUAGAUCAUUGAUCUACAUAAUAAUAACAUGAUACAGUCCUAGUGCCUCUUCUACUUCCACUCAACAUACAAGCACGAACAUCGUCACAAUACACAAACCAAUAUCUACUCUAUUACGGGAGACCGAGAAAGACGAGUCAACAUUGCAUUUAAACCUCCUAAAUGUCGGAUGUUUCCACCCUUACAACGAAGAUGAUACAAGGUGUUAUUGCAUCCCUUGCGCAUGAAUGGUUGAGGUGAACAUAACAUACAACAUUAUUCCCUUGCUUCUAAUUUGCCAACCUCCAGUGGUCGAGCAUAUGUACUGCUCGCUCUAAAAUUUGGUUGCUCGACUCCACCACAUGUUGCCAAAGCCUCAUGGUUCGGUUUUUCUAAAUGCUCCAUAAUAUUAUAACAAGGAGCUCCACUUGAUUUUCACUUGGACGCAGCAAUAGAGUGAAUAAAAUUUCAUCUGUUAUUAAGCAAAAUGAUUAAAGCAAGGUGGCAACUAGGCUACCCAUGAAAGAAUGAUGGAUAAUUUACCCCAACCAAUACACAUUAGCCACAUAAGCACAUAUUCAUGAACUAUCUUGACCCCACAAAUAAAUUGCUCAUUUUCAUUGGUUGGUGGAUAAAUUACCCACCAUUCUUCAAAGGUAAUUUAGAAAAAACCUUAAAGCAAUGAUAAGAAGGGCCUCAUGAGUUCGUACAAUAGUACCCAGCAGGUGAUAUUGUAUGCUAUAUCUUGUAUCUUCAGCGAUGCAUAUCUUCAAUUUCAUGAUGUAGCUUCUUAGAUCUCCAUUACAAUUCCUCACAUUGUUCCAUCAAACAUCUAAAACUAACAUUACUAGUUCAAAAUGAUUAAAUAACAUUAAAAAUUAGUUAAAACCAUAAAUUUUAAAUAGUCCGAUUGAAUGCUUUAGACCAUAGAUUCACUCAAUUCCCCAUUCAUUAUGUUCAUUAUGGGGACAAAGGCAACAUGAUAACCUACAAAAUUGCCGGUUAUCAGUGUUAUUAUUUGUUUGAAUUCACAACGAUUUUCAUACUAAACAUUCAUAGUUUCUUUAUAGGCCACCUUCCUUACUAGUAAGCCGAGCUUGAUCACAUCAUUUAAAACGGGAAAAGAAAUUUGAGUGUUAAAGUAAUACUAGUAGGCAUGGAAGAGAAUAUACAUCACUAAAGAAAUCUAUAACAUGACUUUGCAGAUGAAUCUCAUCAUAGAUUUACUUCUUGUUAUGAUUAUUGAAUUCGUAUCGCCAAGAUCAAUCGAUAUGCUACGAGCUUGUAAACCUCCUCAUAACGAGUAAUAUUGUUAUACUUUUUUCAAAGAUGGUCUCUAAGUAGGUAGAGUCUCUCAUUUGAAGAAGAAAGAAACGUAAUAUCAUAUACACAUGGAAUAUUUAAAAAGUAGCUAUUUUCUUAAUUUUUCCAUAAUGAAAUUUACUUUAUUUGAUAACUUGGAUUAAAAUGUUCAUUCAGGAGAGGCAGAGAUUGUGAUUGCAAGCAGCAUUGGUGAAAGUGCAUCAAAACAUGUUGUUCAUGGUGCAUAACUAACAGUAGAAUUCACACACAAGGGGUACUGCAAUUUUAUCAUUACCAUUAACAUUUGCCACUAAUUUUGGUUCUUUGACACUUCACCAAUUCUUCAAGUGAUAUGUUAUUAGUUUUUGACAUUGUUGUUAAAAUCCCUACUUAAAUCCUAAAAUUUAGUUACGACUUUUUUCACCUUCAACGACUCAAAUCCAUAGUAGAACCCAAAAUAGGCAUAAUUCAUCGAUUUUGAUUGCGAUUUUACGAUUUCUUAUAAAUUAAGUCAUUUAUGACUCUAUACCAUUUAUAUCAUAUAUUUAGUAUUAUUAUAUUUUGAUUGUGAUUUUACGAUUUCUUUAUAUCGAUUCUACAAAAGUAGUUGAGUAAAAUCCUUCGAUUUUGAUUGCGAUUUUACGAUUGUCGAUUUAGCUCUUCUCUUUCGUCCUGAAGCAAAACUCUAAUUUUGACAACCUUAAUUUUUGGUUUCUUCUGGUCAUUGAAACACACACAAGUUGAAAAAGUCACUAACAACACUCAGUAUUUAGAAUCAUUCGAACUUUAACCAGUAAUUGACAAGAUUGUGAAUAAAGAAAUAUCAAAUAACUGAUUCCAAAAUAAAAUUACCUUUGUUGUGUGUCAUCGUUUGUUUGUAUUACUAUUGAAAUAUGAUGCACAUUUCUAGAUAUUUGUAGAAUACAUUAGCAAUUUAUAUAAUGAUGAUCAUGUCUAGAUUUUUUUAUAGCUUAGUAGUUCGUAGAAAAAACCUAUUCUACAUUUUUCAAAAUAGUUUUGUAGAAGUUCACGAAAGUUCUAGAAUGUAGUAUCUAGAAUAUGCCUACUAUAAAUAGACAAACUAAUGUACAAUGGUAUUCAAGGCGGAGAUGCAAUAACAAUAAUUUUGAGGGCCACCACCAGACUAAAUAUCCCAUCAUAUAAUAAGUUGAUUGCUAGUGUGUUGCCUUUUAUCUUAUGUUACUAACCCACUACUAAAUAUCCCUAACAAUUUAUAAAUAGACAAACUUAUGUACAUUUGUAUUUUGAGCUGCAAUAACGAUAAUAUUGAGGCUUCACCACACCGUAUACCUCCUCAUACAUUAAGCUAAUCACUAGUAUCUUGCCUCUUAAGUCUUGACCCAUAUUAAUUGCUAAACUUAUGUACAUUUCGUAUACUAUAUUUUUCUAACAAUUAAGCAUUAGUGUUUUCUAACAAUUAUGGUGCUUGUGCUGUUUUUUUUUUUAAAUCAGGUAUCCUCCGCGCGCAACUGCGGAGACUAAGCUAGUAGAGACCUGUUCCAUCUUAUCUAAGCGCUCUUGGGUAUGCGUGUGCUAUUAUGUACGAAAGAAAUUAACAAAAAAACAAAAAACAAAAAAUUAUGUUCCUUGCUUAGUUUUCAAUUCUGGUUCCCUUCAAAUACAUACACUAAUUUAAAUAUUUUUUUGCACAAGUACACUAAUUCAAAUAUUAAUUUAUCCCUAAUAAAAGAAAACCGAGGCAGAUUUUUUUACGGCCACCGUGUGAGAAAGGGAAUCAAACAAUAGUAUAACCAAGAUAAGACCAGAAAAUAAUUGCAAGCAAAUAAAAAGAGUUGAAAAGCUUAAAAAGAGUUGACUAUCCAUGUAAAUACAUGAUUAAAAAAGAACAAAAUACAUAAAAUAAAAUAAAAACUCAAUGUAACUCUCUACAUCAAUAUCAAAGCCGCAAUAAAAACGACAGCAGCAGCAUAUCCGGCAACGUUGAAUCCAUUCAUAGUGGCACCGUUUGUGGGCGUUGAUGGUGCUUUAGUUGGAGGAGUAGAGAUCGACGAUGGUGCUUUAGUUGGAGGAGUAGAGAUUGACGAUGGAGUAAUAGCAGGAGCGGCAGCAGGGGAGGCGUGAGGAGGAGGAGAUGGUGGAGAGUUGAUGGCGGACGGUGAAGGAGAAGGACUGCUCGUUACAGGUACGGGAGAAGAUGCCACCGGUGAGUUAGCGCUGGUGGAGGGAGCAAUCGCAGGUGAUGGUGCUUGAGAUGGAGGAGUUGAGAUCGACAAUGGAGUAACUGCAGGAGCGGCAACAGGAGAAGCAGGAGAACCAAAGGAAGCAGGAGGAGGAGAUGUUGGAUAGUUAACUGCGAACGGUGAAGGAGAUGGAGCGUUCAUCAAAGGAACGGGAGAAGAUACCGCCGGUGAGAUAGCCAAGGGAGAUCCCGCAGGAGAUGGAGUGGCAACAGGAGAUGAUGAUAGAGAUCGUGCAAAGGUAGAACUAACCAAUAGUGAGGCCACAAGCAUCAACACAACCAUGUAGGAAGCCAUAGUAGAAAUUUGAUGAAGGACGAUGAAGUUUCUGAAGCAGCGUUGAGCGAGUAGGAUUAGGGUUUGGAACUGUGGUGAAAAAGGACAAGGGUUGAAGGAUAUAUUUAUAGAAGCCUAACCGCGUAAAUAUGCUUUUUCAUAGGGUAAGUUGUUUUUUGUGAGGGAUCAUAGGGUGAGUUGUUACUGACUGGUUGUUGAUCUUUUUUAUUAUUAUCUUUUUAUGUUUUUUGGUCAAGAUUAUUGAUUUAUUUUUUGUCGAAUAGUCUAGUUGUUGCAGCUCACAUAAUAUAAAUGUAGAGAAAUGGGGUGUCAGGGUUCGAACUUCUGCCCCUGCAUAAAUUAUUCUUAUUUUAAUAUAAUUUAAUUUAUUUUCAAUUGAUAAUUUAAAUAAUAUUAUAAAAAGGAUAAAUUAGUUUAAAGGGUAAAAAUAGAAGAAAAAAGUCUAGCUCAAAAUGGUGUAUGCCAAUUAUAUAGUGUUAUUUUUUGUUUGUAAGAGUCUUUUAUAUAGUGUUAUACAUAGAUGUUUGUGGCUUACCAAUUGUAACAAACUACGUUAUUUUUAACCAACAAUAUAACAAAUAUAAUAUUAUAAUUUGAUAAAAAAAUAUUAUAUAAAUUCUUCACUUUUUCAGUAACACCAACAAUAUAAAAUAUUUAUAAACAAAUUCAUUUAAGAGUAUAAUUCUAAUUAUAACAAACUCUAUAUGUUUACUUGUCAAAAAAAGAAACUCUAUAUGUUUAUACUUUACCAACAAUAUAAUAAAUAUAUCCAAUCUUAUUAAUCUCCAAUUUACGAGCCCAUUUGUUACAAUUUUAAAAAAAUCAUUUUUUAUAAAAAAUAAUAAUAAUCACUAAUAUCCUUCCAAAAUAAUAGAAUUUAGAAAAAAAACAACUUCAAAGUUUUUUUUUUUAGGGAAAAAUUCAAAGUUGUUAUGUAGCUUAUGAGAAAAUAUAUUUUUUCCUUGAAAGAAAAGAUUUUUUUAUUUUUUUUUUUACCAAGCAAAAAUGUAAUAUAUUAACAUUGACAAAGUAGUCUCCUUAGCACAAGGCGUACCAAAAAAAUCACUAGAUAGAACUAAUUUUACAUCAAAAAAUAUUUUUUAUAUAGUUGUAUUCAAACAUACUGAAUUUUUUUCUUCUUAAGUGAUUUUUAUUUUGGUAAAUAAACGCAAAAUAGAUUCUGAUUUUUUAUAAAAUCUCUAAAAAUAAUCUCUAAAACUCAAAAUAAUUGUAAUUUUAAUUUGUAACAUACAUACCUUAUACCAAUUAAUCAACAUUGUGGUCUAUUUGGUUGGUUGCAACUAGGGAUGAAAAUAGGUCAGGUCGGUCUACGGCCUAACCUACGACAAGUCAAACCAUACUUUUUUCUUAAAUAGAGAUUGCAUAGACUUUUUUAGAAGCCUGAUUAAAUUAAAAGGUCAGACCACAUGUCAUUCAAAAAGCCCUUAAGCUUGUUAGACCGAUCUAUUUAAGUAAACAUGAAUAGUAUUAUUUAUUAUUAUAUUAUAUUUUUCACUUUGAAUUAAAAUAUAAAUUUGUUAUCUUUUUUCAAUAAUUUAAGCUUAUUAUAUACAUUAGUCUUUUGCAUAUAUAUAAAGGUAUUAUUAUAAACUAGAAUUGAAGUAAGAUACAAUUUAUUGUGAAAUGCCUUAAAACCUCAUGUUGAUUAUCAAAGAAGAGUUUAACCUAAUUGAUCUAUUUGUUCACUAGUUUAUUUAAACUUGCAUCACAUUGCUUAUUUAAAAAUGUUCAUAAGAUAUAGGCUUUUAAACAGGUUAUCAGGUCGUAUCAGGUUUUCAUAAGGUCAGGCUCAGGCCUAAAAUGUAAGCCUUUUACUAGCCGCAAGCCAAGCUUAUAGGCUUUAAAAAAAAUUGGUAGGUUAGACCUAGGCCUUGCAAAGUCUAGCUCGGUCUAGCCUUUCUAGGUACAACAUAUGGAAAUAGGAAAAUAAGCCAUGCUCAAUCAAUUACAAUAAUUAAUUUUCAUAAAAAUAAAAAUAAAAUAAAAUAAAAAAAAGACUAAGGAUCUUUGAGGGAGAGUGUACUAGCUCUAAUGAAAGAAAUGACCAAACAAAACUAAAAUUAAUUUUCCUUUUGUUUGUUCGAUUUUCAAUUCUGGUUUCCUUCAAUUGAUCUGAUUUGUCCAUCAUAAUCAGAAAAACAUUGACAGAGUAUGAACGAAGGUGAUGAUGGCAAUAAUAAUCGAAUAUAAAAAUAAUUGCAAGCAAAUAGCAUAAAUAGAUUUUUUUUUUUUUUUUUUGAAACAAGCAUAAAUAGAUUCAUGUAAAUUCAUAAAAAAUAACUGCAAGCAAAUAGCAUAAAUAGAUUCAUGUAAAUUCAUAAAAUAAAAAUAAAAAAUAAAAUAAAAUAAAAAACACAACAAUAAGAGUCAGGAAUAUGUAAAUUUGUGAUUACAAAAAAGUCAAAAAAAGAAACAUCUCAGCGUCUACCCUAACAAAAAAAACUCAGCCAAGUCUAUAUCAUCAAAACAGCAGCGAAAACCACAACAGCAGCAGAUCCGGCAACAGUGAAUCUGUUGAAAGCGGCGCCGUUUGUGGAUGUUGAUGGUGAUUUAGAUGGAGGGGUAGAGAUAGACGUUGGAGUAAUAGCAGGAGGAGGAGAUGGUGGAGAGUUGUUGGUGGACGGUGAUGGAGAAGGAAUGCUCUUCGCAGGCACGGGAGCAGAUGCCGCCGUUGAGUUAGCGGAGGGAGAAAUCGCUGGUGAUGGUGCUUGAGAUGGAGGAGUAGAGAUCGACGAUGGAGUCACAGCAGGAGCGGCAACGGGAGAAGCAGCGGCAGCUGGAGAACCAGGAGCGGCAGCGGGAGGAGCAGAUGCUGGUGAGUUGAUGGCGAACGGUGAAGGAGAUGAAGCACCAGGAAGAGGAGCAGAUGCCACUGGUGAGUUAGCGGAGGGAGAAAUUAUUGGUGAUGGAAACGGAGAAAACAUGGGCGAUGAUGAUGGUGGUGAUCGAGCAACUGUGGAAUCCAGCAGCAGUGCAACCAAAAGCAUCAGCACAACGGUGUAGGAAGCCAUAGUAGAAAGAUGAAGAAGGAGAAUGGGAAUAUUAGGGUUUGAAGCAGUGAUAUUGUGUUGUGAAGAAAAUAUUAGGGCUGCAAAGGUUAUUUAUAUAAGCUUAAACGCUUCUUCCCGUUUCUAGGUUAAGUCGUUAUGACUUAUGAGUCGGUGAUUUUUUUUUUUGUUUUUUUGAAUAAUACAAUUUUUUUUUACAAUUUUUUUUAAAUUACUGUUGUAUUUAUCUUUUUCUUUUUGAUCAAAAUAAAGUUAACUAUCAUUAAUCAACUAAUGUGCAAUACAAGAAGGAUAAGAGUUAAAAAUGCGGUGACUAGCCCAAGAACAGACCGCCCUAGCUAAAGUAUGAGCAACCAUGUUCGAUUGUCUCCUAACAAACUUCACCUCGAAGUUGGAAUGUAAAGAUAACUGAUAAAUAAUACUAGAAACAAUAGCAUAGAAUUCUGAAUCACCAUGGCCCAGAGACGAAAGAGCUUGCACUAAAGUAGCAGAGUCAGACUCGAAGACAACCCGGUCCCAUCUGUUCACAUAAGCAAAGUGAAUAGCAUCGAGUAAGGCUACUGCCUCCCCCUCCAAAACUGUCAUAUUUGCCCGUUUCCAUUUCGUUUGUGCCCGAAUAAAUUUCCCUCGGGAGUCUCUAACACAACAUGCAGAGGAUGUAAGACGAUUACGGUCAUGGAACGCGGCAUCCACAUUGCACUUCAACCAUGUCUCGCUCGGUUUCUCCCAAACUAAGUUGUUACGUACCUUGCACCCUAUUCCGGUCAUGUUGCACAACCGGUAGUGAGGGAUGUUUAUGAACCUCAUGCCAUUGCUGCCAUGCAUCCAGAGCUGUCCUUCCAAUGCUUGUUGAAGGUAUAAUGAGCGUCCUUCCAAAUGACAUCAUUACAUGCAGCCCAAAUUUUCCAAAGAAGUAAAGCCACACGACCAGCAAUGUCUCGGCUUUCUGAACAACAUAUGUCAAAAACAAAAUUUGUCAAACUACUCUCAGUUCCAACUCGCGUUUGCAACACAGUCGAAAGUCCUGUCCAAUACCAACUUUCACUCGCCACCGUACAGCCCACAAAAGCAUGCCAAUCAUCCUCAACAUCCGUAUCACACCAGGGGCAGUUCAAUGUGUAACAACUCCAUCAUAGCUAGUUUGUCCCGACGACUCCCAUAUCUAACGACGAUGAGAAAUUGAAUCUCAUCACCGUCUUCAACGGGUUUGGGUAUCCAUACAGUGAAUCAUUUUUUUGAAUAAAAAAUUCAAGUUUUUUCCAGUCCCGGGAAUAAUGUUAUAAUGUAUUAUGCAGUAAUAUGCUCACUUUAACAUUUUUUUAUCGAAUAAUUUGGUUGCUCUUAUAAAUAUCAAUGGCAGGUUUUAUAACAUGACAAAUAUCAAUGAGUAAUAAAGUAAUUUCUACAUUCAUGAUAGGUUUGUGUAUGAGUUCGAGAUGAGUACAUAUAUCUUUGUUAUUAGUCUCGUACCCGUGUUUUAAAAUCGAGGAAAAUCCAAACACAUACCCAAACUAGUCAAAACGGAGAAACACAUCAAAUCGAGGUGGGUUCAGCCAAAUAACCGUGAAUACCGGUUUUACUAUCAUGCCUAAAUAAAAUGGAUAUAUAUUCUAACAAAUUAUACUGUCAAAACAUAAAAUAGAAACAGAAAGUGUACUAAAAAAGAAUUAAAAAGGAGCAUAUAGUGUAAUAGUUAGAGCAUCCACAAAGGAGAUCCUCAACUCCGAGCUCUUAAAUAGGUCCCACGGACGCAUCACUUUUUAAUAAUUUUUUAAUAAUAGCAUUUAAUAGGUACUCAACCACUCCAAUGGAGAUCCUUUAACAAAAGGUCUAAUANGGUCCCACAAAUAUUAUUUAAUUGCCAUGAAAAUUAUUAUUUUAAUAAAAAAUGAUGUGGAUCCAUUUAAGAAUGGGGCUUAAUAGUUAGACCUUGAAUCUUUUAAGACCCCCAAGUUUUUUUUCCCACAAUAAGGGUACCUAUUAGGUACCAGAUCUUAAAUGGUGAAGACCUCACCAUUGUGGAUGCUCUUAGUAAUCCUCAGUAAAAAAUAAAAUAAAAAGUAAAUCCUUCCCUCAAAUAAAAUAUCAAUUAAUUAGCAAUCCUGGUUGUAUCCGGAGUAAAUAAAAUAUUCAAUCAGAAAACGCAUAUGACCAUUACAAAAAAAAAAAAAGGAAAAGAAAUUUGAACUAGAAAGAUGAAAUUAAAUAUAUUAAUAUAAAACGCAUAUGACUGUUACAAAAAAUAAAAGGAAAAAAAUUUGAACUAGAAAAAGGAAAUACAAUAUACUAUUCGGGUAAUAUUUUAUUAUUUAUUUAUAAAAUUGUGACAACGUCUUCGUGAGCUUAACUCAAUUGACAUGAAUAAUGCAAAAAAAAAAACAAAACUAUCGUAACAUUUUCAGAACAUUCUUUGACCUCACAAAUACGAGACAGUUGAAUGUCAACCCAAUACAACCAUUAAAGUGAUCUUGGUACAAGAAUAUGGUAUUAAAAGAAAUCACUAAGUCACAAGGAUGAAUUCCUUAAAAAAAAAAAAAGUCACAAGGAUGAAUGAAGAUUAAAUGAAAACUUUAAAUAUGUUCAUAAAAUGAAUUCUAUAAAAAGAGAGUUAAGAUCUUAUCCAUUUGUCAUUUCCAUCUCUAUCAUUUGGAGAGAUAAUCUUUAUCAUUUGAAGAGAUAAAGAUACAAAAAUAGAUGAAUUCAUCAAAAUAUACAAAAGGAACGGUUUCUUUUUUUGAAAUAUACAAAAGGAACCUAUUGAAUGACAUAUAACAUAUAAAAAGAAUAUAUUUAAUGGUUGACUUAAAUAUGUAUUUGAACCUUGCAAUUAGGGGUCGUUUAAAAAUUGGUCCCUGUAAUCGCUAAUCCUGGCAAUUUACCCUUGCAUUGUUUAAUCAUUUAAAAUUUCGUCGCUCUCCCCACUUAAUCACUGCCGAGCCACAUGAAAUUCUAAUUUUACCCCUGGGUUUCCAAUUCUUUCUUCAUUAUUUUGUCCUCUUCUUAAGGGCAAAAUUGGAAUUUCAUGUGUGGCAGUGAUUGCCACGUCAUCAAAUUAGUGACGUGGCAAUGAUUAAAUUGGUCAAAGGACGAAAUUUAAAAUGAUUAAUGAUUGCAAGACUAGUUUGCAAGGAUUAGCGAUUACAGGGACCAAUUUUUAAACGACCCCUAAUUGCAAGGAUCAAAUACAUAUUUAAUAUUGGCUCCACCAAAAUGUGAGUAACACUAACAAGCUUGGACAUAUGAGAAGAUGACAACACAUGUGUGAGAGAGAGAGAGAGUUUGAGGUACCACAAGUAUUAAAAAGCUAAUGACAAAAGUGUUCCUAUUACAUGAUACUAAAAGACAAAGUGUGUCUUUAAUACAACUCAACUUGAUUUGUUUUCUGCCAAAUCUCCACAAAAAUAUGCAUGGUACUGUUCAUAAAAUAUAUGAGAUGACAUCACAAAAACGCAUAUGUUUAUUAGUUGUCCUUACCUUAAAAAAGAAAAAUGAUAUCGGUAGAACUACUUUGUGACAACUUUCUCUCACAUACUCAGAUUAUAUUCUUAUUCUCUCUUUUCUUUUUUUUCUCUCCAUUAUUUUUGAGCAAUAAAAAUAGAGAAAAAAGAGGUUAUCUCAAAAGUUGUUUCAAAUAGAUGUUCAAAUAUCAUUACUCCUAAAAAAAAAUGUUUAUUAGGUCCUAUAUACAUCAGCUGAGAACGUUAUCAACACUGCAAGAACAUUUUGACAAAAGGCUUCAACAAGAGUGAAGUACUCUAAUGUGUUGGUAACUUUUCCUUCCCACCUUUGCCUCUAGAAACUCCUGUUAUUUACCACAUCAAGGAUGGUCCUCAUCUAUAAAUGUUCAACAAGGACAAAGAGCAUAAGUCUUGAGCAUAAUCAUACUCUCUUGAUAUUUGUCAAUCAUCAAGAAACAUCAAAGACUCCUUUGUUUUUAUCAUCUACAUCAUUCAAGCUCAUGCAUAGAAAUCAAACAUCUUUAAAGGCAGCAACUUAUUUUACACUAGUUUUUUAAGUGAGUAAGAAACAUGUCAAAACAUUCAUCAAUUUUAAAAUUGCUCUAGUUACUCAUUGAAAGCGUAAUUAAGAAGUGUAAAGGCAAGGUUGCCAAAUCAAGGUUGUAAAGUCGAAGUGGUUAAAAGGAAAUUGAGUGUAAAGAUCCUAGGGUGAUCUAAGAAAAUGCAUAGAGAUAGUAUUAAAUCUUAAGUGCAUGGUGGAAAAUAUCACAAUAUUGUGUGGACUAAAGUAGCCUACAUUGGAUAAACCAAUAUAACUUUAUGUGUGUGAUUCUCUAAUUAACUCGCCUCAUUUAAAUUUCCAAUUUACACUUGCUAUAGUUAUUAAAUGUUGUUUCUUACUAAGUAAGUAAUCAAAUAAAAGUUAUCAGUUUAGAAGUUUUAUUGCAAAUUUUUUGAAUGGAUCACAAUCCAAAAUCCCAUUUUACUUCAGAAAGAAUCACGUUCACAACUUAUGUAAUGAAGGAUAUGAGAUCUUAGUGCUCUUUAAAAUGGUACACAUUGGAUAGGAGGAUCAAAUUAUACAUAUCAUCGAAUUCAAAUACACAAAAGUAAAAGAAGCAUUGAAAAGGAUGAGUAAUGAUUAGGAAGUUGGACCAAAUAACAUAUCUAUUGAACUAUGAAAAAGUCUUGACGAUAAAAGCAAGGGGUGGCUCACCAAAUAUUUUAACAAAAUUAUGAGGUUAAAGAAAAUGUUAGACGAGUAGAGUAUAACAACUUAAUUUAAUUCCAAUCUAUAAGAGCAAUGGAGGAUAUAUAAAAUUGUACAACUUAUAGAGAGGCCAAACUUAUGAGUCACACCAUGAAGUUAUGGAAAAGAAUGAUUGAGAGAAGAAAGAAACUCAAUUUAGUAAUAACUAAUUUGUAUUUACGUCUGGAAGCUUAAGGUCCACCAUAUAUGGAACCAAUCUACUUAAUUACUAUGAUGAGUGAUGGAGCAAUAUAUGAUCAAUUAAAAAGACUUGCGCUUAAUUUUCACUAAUUUAGAGAAGAAUGAUGGUACAACGCCUAGAGAUAUUUUAAGGAAAGCCCUAAAGACGAAAGGGGGUUAGGUUGCUUAAUCUAAGAAGUCAAAUAUAUGUACAAGGGGUUCUUGACCAGCGAGAGAACGUAUAUAAGUUGGGGCCACUAACAAUUUUCCUAAAAGAAUAGCAUUUCACUAAGGAUGAAAUCAAAGUCAUUAUAUUUUUACUUAAGUUUUUUAUGUACUUAUGAUACACAUCCAAGAGUUAGCGCCGAGAUGUAUACUUUUUAUUGAUGAUAUAAUCUUACUUCGAGAGUUGGUGGAGAAAGUAAAUGAGAUUGGAGACAAGCCUUAGAAGUGUAUGACUUUCCCCUCAGUAGAAGUAAGACAAAAUAUAUAUGCAAUGUAGAUUUAGCAAAAGGCCAAUCAUUCCUAGCAUAGAGAUGAAAGAAGAACAUAUGAUACCAUAAGUUACAUGAUUUAGAUAUCUUGGAUCCACCAUAUAAAACAAAGGAUAAUUAUAAGUAGAUGUAAACCAUCGAAUUCAAGGUGGAUGGUUAAUUUAUCGAUUAACUAUAUCAUAGUCAAUGGUGUAUUGAACAGGGUGUUGGGAUGAAAAGAACCAAAAUUAAAUAAAUUAAGUGCAGUAGAUGUGAAGAUGUCGACUUUCACUAUUAGAAAAAUCAGAAAUGGUUCCCCGUGAGCUUAACUCAGUUGGUAGGGAUAUUGCAUAUUUUAUGCAGGAGCCGGGGUUCGAACAUCGGACACUCCACUUCUCCACAAUUAAAUUGUGUGAACUCUAGCCACUAGACUACUUGACAAAAAAAAAUUGGAAAUGGAGAGGGACCAAUUUCAUCGUUAUAUUGCGAAAUUUCCAUCUCUACAUACUUUAGAAACAAAUUUGGGGACGAAACUGAAUAUGUCUUAGAGACGUAUUGUCUUACCACACAUACUUUACAGACAUAUUGCCUUACCAAAGGAACACUUAAAUUUUGUAAACAUCUAGGGUUGAAAAUAUGCAAACCAGUCGGCAAUUCUUUAACAAUGCAAAAAGGUAGCUACAUUCAAGGCCUCAACCUUAAAAAGGUAACUUGAUGCUAAUUUUUUUUUCAACUUGUACUUCAUUGAAUUAAAGGAUGAUGAGGUUCAACAACAGGAAGCUCCAACUUCUACAAUUUUCACGUUUUCUUCUUGGUUUGAACUAACAUCCCUCAUUAUUGCCAUGAUGAGAGGUUGCACCUACUAAUUUAAAUUAACCAAGAAAACAAUUUGACCAUUCCUUGACAAGUGAUAUUUUGCAGUGGCUUACCCCCUUCAACAUUGGAAGUUUCCAAUGCUUCUUAAGGAAGUGACAUACUUCCACUAAGGCUUGAAAUUGUUGACAUGAUUUCAUGAUUUCACGACAUAACCGAAACCACUGGAGGUUGACAUUGCAACGGUGCUCACAACUUUGGACACGCCAAAAGUAAGUUACUUGUCGUGUUAGAAGUACAUGAAUUGCUAAAUUUUUCACAACAGCAUGCACGCGUAUGAAAAUAAUCAUCACCACAAGAAAAAGGUUACACACGUAAGUUACAAUAGCUCGUUCGACCGGGCCUUCCAAAUUGUCUACUGUGAUCUUUUUUGUUACAAUAUAAGCAAAUUAACUUUUUAUAUUCAUAUAUUUAACGAUAUAUGUUGUUCAUAUACCACAUACAUCAUUAAAUGAAUGAACUUAAAAAGUCAAUUUUAUUUAUAUUUAGAAAUGGAGGAAGUAAUUAUGAACUGCGUCAAACCGACCAUAAAUAAAUGUUUAAUCAAUGUGAUCAUGGGUGUGUUUUAUAAAGUGUUUUGAAAAAAAGAAGGUGUAUUUUGUUGAGUUGACUUUUAAACAUACGUAUGUGACCUUAUUGACAAAAAAAUGUAUGUUGUCAUUAGUUUGCAAAACAACUCCCGCACUACUUAAAAUUUAUGGGUAUGUGUUUGAUUGAUUUUCCCAAGUCAAUUACAUGGUAUUGGUACCAUGAAAUGCUCAAUCAAUUAAAAUAAUUAAUUUUCAUAAAAAUAAAGUUAACAUCUUGUUGAGGGAGAGUGUAUUGCUCUGUUUCAUGAAAGAAAUCACCAAACAACUAAAAUUUCUCCUUGUUCGGCUUUCAAUUUCUGAUUCCCAUUAAAUACAUAAUUUGUCCAUAAUAUCCCGAAGAAAAUUGAUGGAAUUUAUUUAUUUUUCCUUUCCUACUACUAAUUUUUGUUGUUGUUGUUGAAAGAUACACAAUUCAUUCAAAUGAAAACGAUGAUCGACAAUAAGAUAAAUAAUAAUUGCAAGGAAGUAGUAACGUUGAAAAGAAGAAGAAGAAAAAAUGUGUCACUGAUUAAUUAAAGUAAUAAAUAGAUUACAGAAAAUAAUCGAAUGAAUAAAUCGUCGUCGCACAGAUCGAAACAGAGAAACAACAAAAAGGUACAUAGUAGUUCUCACGAUCCAUGUAAAUUCGUGAUGUAAAAAAAACAAAAUAAAAUAAAAUAAAAUAAAACUCGAGUAACUCUCUAUAGUAUCAAAGCGGCGGCGAAAACCACUACAGCAGCAGAUCCGGCAACGGUAAAUCUGUUCAAAGCGGCACCGUUUUCGGAAGGUCCUUCGGAAGGAGGAGUGGAAAUGGAUGAUGGAGUAAGAGCAGGAGAGACAGCGGGAGAGUCGGAUGAAGCAGGAGGAGGAGAUGGUGGAGAGUUGAUGGCUGAAGGUGAAGGAGAUGGAGCGUUCUUCACAGGUAUGGGAGCAGAUGCCGCCGGUGAGUCAGCGGAGGGAGAGAUCGCAGGUGUGGCAACAGGGGAUAUGGUGGGAGAUGAAGAUGGAGAUUGAGCGAAGGUAGAACUAACCAAUAGUGUAGCCACAAGCAUCAAAACAACUGUGUAUGAAGCCAUUGUAAAAAUUUGAUGAAGGAGAAUAAAAAAUUAGGGUUUAUAAG